rnacentral:rRNA from 1 species
AUUGAACGCUGGCGGCAUGCCUUACACAUGCAAGUCGAACGGUAACGGGUCCUUCGGGAUGCCGACGAGUGGCGAACGGGUGAGUAAUAUAUCGGAACGUGCCCAGUAGUGGGGGAUAACUGCUCGAAAGAGCAGCUAAUACCGCAUACGACCUGAGGGUGAAAGGGGGGGAUCGCAAGACCUCUCGCUAUUGGAGCGGCCGAUAUCAGAUUAGCUAGUUGGUGGGGUAAAGGCCUACCAAGGCAACGAUCUGUAGUUGGUCUGAGAGGACGACCAGCCACACUGGGACUGAGACACGGCCCAGACUCCUACGGGAGGCAGCAGUGGGGAAUUUUGGACAAUGGGCGCAAGCCUGAUCCAGCAAUGCCGCGUGCAGGAAGAAGGCCUUCGGGUUGUAAACUGCUUUUGUCAGGGAAGAAAUCUUCUGGGCUAAUACCCCGGGAGGAUGACGGUACCUGAAGAAUAAGCACCGGCUAACUACGUGCCAGCCGCCGCCGUAA